rnacentral:rRNA from 1 species
UACGAAGGGGGCGAGCGUUGUUCGGAAUUACUGGGCGUAAAGGGCGCGUAGGCGGCGACUCAAGUUAGAUGUGAAAGUCCUGGGCUUAACCUGGGGACUGCAUUUGAUACUGGGUUGCUUGAAUUCGGGAGAGGAUGGCGGAAUUCCCAGUGUAGAGGUGAAAUUCGUAGAUAUUGGGAAGAACACCGGUGGCGAAGGCGGCUAUCUGGACCGACAUUGACGCUGAGGCGCGAAAGCGUGGGGAGCAAACGGG